AAACGGGCGCUAAUACCGCAUACGUCCUGAGGGAGAAAGUGGGGGAUCUUCGGACCUCACGCUAUCAGAUGAGCCUAGGUCGGAUUAGCUAGUUGGUGGGGUAAAGGCCUACCAAGGCGACGAUCCGUAACUGGUCUGAGAGGAUGAUCAGUCACACUGGAACUGAGACACGGUCCAGACUCCUACGGGAGGCAGCAGUGGGGAAUAUUGGACAAUGGGCGAAAGCCUGAUCCAGCCAUGCCGCGUGUGUGAAGAAGGUCUUCGGAUUGUAAAGCACUUUAAGUUGGGAGGAAGGGCAGUAAGUUAAUACCUUGCUGUUUUGACGUUACCAACAGAAUAAGCACCGGCUAACUUCGUGCCAGCAGCCGCGGUAAUACGAAGGGUGCAAGCGUUAAUCGGAAUUACUGGGCGUAAAGCGCGCGUAGGUGGUUCAGCAAGUUGGAUGUGAAAUCCCCGGGCUCAACCUGGGAACUGCAUCCAAAACUACUGAGCUAGAGUACGGUAGAGGGUGGUGGAAUUUCCUGUGUAGCGGUGAAUGCGUAGAUAAUAGGAGACACCAGUGGCGAGGCGACCACUGACUGAUACUGACACUGAGUGCGAA
rnacentral:rRNA from 1 species